UACGGGGGGGGGUAAGCGUUGUUCGGAAUUACUGGGCGUAAAGGGCUCGUAGGCGGCCAACUAAGUCAGACGUGAAAUCCCUCAGCUUAACUGGGGAACUGCGUCUGAUACUGGAUGGCUUGGAUUUGGGAGAGGAAUGCGGAAUUCCAGGUGUAGCGGUGAAAUGCGUAGAUAUCAGGAGGAACACCUGUGGUGUAGACGGCUCUCUGGACCGCAACUGACGCUGAGACACGAAAGCGUGGGUAGCAAACAGG
rnacentral:rRNA from 1 species